GUGAAUCAUCAAAUUUUUGAACGCAAAUUGCGCUUCCUGGUAUUCCGGGAAGCAUGCCUGUUUGAGGGUCAGUAUUAACCAAAAAUCGGUUUGGUUGCAAAUUGUGUCGUUUCCGGAGUUUGGGCCUAUCUUAACUUUUUUGGUUAAGGAGCUUAAAAUUGACCUUUUUUUUGCAUUUUUAGACGUACAUAAAUUUUUUUUUGUUCGUCUAUUCUUAAUGCCAAAUUCUUAUUAGAUGAGAUCACAACGUGUGGAUUCGUGUCUACAAAAUUUUCAUGAUUU
rnacentral:misc_RNA from 1 species